GACGAAGGGGGGCUAGCGUUGUUCGGAAUUACUGGGCGUAAAGCGUGUGUAGGUGGUUGUCAUAGUCAGGCGUGAAAGCCUUGAGCUCAACUCAAGAAAUGCGCUUGAUACUGGGCAGCUAGAGGACCGGAGAGGAUAGUGGAAUUCCCAGUGUAGUGGUGAAAUACGUAGAGAUUGGGAAGAACACCAGUGGCGAAGGCGGCUAUCUGGACGGUUUCUGACACUAAGACACGAAAGCGUGGGGAGCAAACAGG
rnacentral:rRNA from 1 species